GUGGGGAAUCUUGCGCAAUGGGCGAAAGCCUGACGCAGCCAUGCCGCGUGAAUGAUGAAGGUCUUAGGAUUGUAAAAUUCUUUCACCGGGGACGAUAAUGACGGUACCCGGAGAAGAAGCCCCGGCUAACUUCGUGCCAGCAGCCGCGGUAAUACGAAGGGGGCUAGCGUUGCUCGGAAUUACUGGGCGUAACGGGCGCGUAGGCGGACAGUUUAGUCAGAGGUGAAAGCCCAGGGCUCAACCUUGGAAUUGCCUUUGAUACUGGCUGUCUUGAGUACGGGAAGGGUGGGUGGAAAUCCGAGUGUAGAGGUGGAAAUCGUAGAUAUUCGGAAGAACACCAGGGGCGAAGGCGACUCACUGGCCCGUUACUGACGCUGAGGCGCGAAAGCGUGGGGAGCAAACAGGAUUAGAAACCCUAGUAGUCC
rnacentral:rRNA from 1 species